rnacentral:rRNA from 1 species
AUUGAACGCUGGCGGCAGGCCUAACACAUGCAAGUCGAACGGUAGCACAGAGAGCUUGCUCUCGGGUGACGAAUGGCGGACGGGUGAGUAACGUCUGGGAAACUGCCCGAUGGAGGGGGAUAACUACUGGAAACGGUAGCUAAUACCGCAUAACGUCGCAAGACCAAAGUGGGGGACCUUCGGGCCUCACACCAUCGGGUGUGCCCAGAUGGGAUUAGCUAGUAGUUGGGGUAAUGGCUCACCUAGGCGACGAUCCCUAGCUGGUCUGAGAGGAUGGCCAGCCACGCUGAAACUGAGACGCGGUACGCACUCCUACGGGAGGCAGCGGUGGGGAAUAUUGCACACUGGGCGCAAGCCUGAUGCACCCAUGCCGCGUGUAUGAAAAAGGCCUUCGGGUUGUAAAGUACUUUCAGCGGGGAGGAAGGCGGUGAAGUUAAUAACUUCACCGAUUGCCGUUACCCGCAGAAGAAGCACCGGCUAACUCCGUGCCAGCAGCCGCCGUAACAC